CAGGCCUCAGGUGAGCCAAAAGUUAACGGACCGCGGUCGACCUAGCGGGAGGUGUUCCGGAACUUUCUCCAGCCAGCCGUUGGUCUCCUCUUAGCUGUCAGUCCGCCUUCCUGUCGGGGAAAUGUUUCUCAAAGAGAAACAUCCCUCAGCAAGUCCGAGGCCCCUCUACUGGCAAACUGGGCUCGACCGGUGCUGAUUUUUGGAAACUGCCCAACUCCUCCUGUGGGCCCAGGCGUUCCGCGACCGCUAGGAGGAAGGGGAUGCGGAGCUAACGGGACAAGACGACGGAGAGGAGCUGACGGCGUUGCCGAAAGGGAUCGGGCCCGUCUCGGUCAGAGGCGGUUUUCCUCGCUCCGUGUGUUGUGCGUAACCGAGUCCUCUGUUGGUAAACACGCACGAGGCCGCUUCCACCCACGCCGGGCCGACCUAAGGCAGGGCGACCCAGCCUCGCGUAAAGCCGGCCGGUCCGCCAUGCGAGGAGGUCCGGUGGAAAUGAAGGGCAAGAAUAUCCUGGGGUAGAAUUUAUCGGAUGCUCGGUGUGAGAGAAAUCGCCCGAAACCAAACAUUCCUCGCUGAGAGCAUCCCGUUCCCCGGGGGUCUUGGUUCGGCCGAUGACCGCUGCCACGGACAACUGUGCGGUCUGCACCUAGUGCCUGGGAAAGGAAGAGAUAAAGAACCCAACGCGGCGAGGUAAAAGCGGGUGUUUUUAUUUGAAGGGAAGAGACUGGGCUAUGUUCACUCUGAAAGUGGUUCUGGAUACCAGAUCAGCUAACUACAAUUUAGGAGGUCUUAUGUGUAAUCUGCCCAGUCCCAGAUAUUUUAAUUCUAUGUUGCAAAAAUGUAUGAGCCAGCUGGCCUCCGACUAAAUAUAUUCAGGGUUCAGUUCUAAACAGUAAUGUUUGGGAAAAGUACAAUCUAAAACAGACAGCUCUGUAUGUGUUUAGAUUUUGCUUUCUUUCCACUUUUAAAUAUUAAAAAUUGACUCCAGCUGUGGGGUAGAAAGUAACGCCUAACCUAUAAAAACAUUGACAAAUAAA